rnacentral:rRNA from 1 species
GACGAACCGUACGAACGUUAUUCGGAAUCACUGGGCUUAAAGGGUGCGUAGGCGGCGCGGCAAGUUGGGUGUGAAAUCCCUCGGCUUAACCGAGGAACUGCGUCCAAAACUGCCGUGCUCGAGGGAGACAGAGGUGAGCGGAACUUAGGGUGGAGCGGUGAAAUGCGUUGAUAUCCUAAGGAACACCGGUGGCGAAAGCGGCUCACUGGGUCUCUUCUGACGCUGAGGCACGAAAGCUAGGGUAGCGAACGGG